rnacentral:pre_miRNA from 1 species
CUUGGGGGGAGUGGUCCCUCAGCCCAGAUUGCAAGAGGGCGCAGGCCAGGCCGAGGGACCCCACUGGUGCACA